rnacentral:lncRNA from 1 species
AAUAUCAACCACUUUUACUUGCUGUGAGUCAAAGAAAACUGAAAAUGGUGGAAGUUUUAUUAAAGAAAAACACAAAUGUAAAUGCAAUUGAUUAUCUUAGCAGAUCAGCCCUCAUACUUGCUGUUAAUCUUGGAGAAAAAGAUAUAGUCGUUCUUCUUCUGCAGCACAAUACUGAUGUGUUUUCUCGAGAUGCAUAUGGAAAGACUGCAGAAGAUUAUGCAAUUGAGGCUAAGAAUAAAAUU